UACGUAGGGGGCAAGCGUUGUCCGGAAUUAUUGGGCGUAAAGCGCGUGUAGGCGGCUCGAUAAGUCCGCUCUGAAAGUCCGGGGCUCAACCCCGGGAGGCGGGUGGAUACUGUCGGGCUAGAGUCCGGAAGAGGCGAGUGGAAUUUCUGGUGUAGCGGUGAAAUGCGCAGAUAUCGGGAGGAACACCUAUGGCGAAGGCAGCUCGCUGGGACGUUACUGACGCUGAGACGCGAAAGCGUGGGGAGCAAACAGG
rnacentral:rRNA from 1 species